rnacentral:rRNA from 1 species
GACGAACGCUGGCGGCGUGCUUAACACAUGCAAGUCGAACGGAAAGGCCCUGCUUUUGUGGGGUGCUCGAGUGGCGAACGGGUGAGUAACACGUGAGUAACCUGCCCUUGACUUUGGGUUAACUUCAGGAAACUUGGGCUAAUACCGGAUAGGAGCUCCUGCUGCAUGGUGGGGGUUGGAAAGUUUCGGCGGUUGGGGAUGGACUCGCGGCUUAUCAGCUUGUUGGUGGGGUAGUGGCUUACCAAGGCUUUGACGGGUAGCCGGCCUGAGAGGGUGACCGGCCACAUUGGGACUGAGAUACGGCCCAGACUCCUACGGGAGGCAGCAGUGGGGAAUAUUGCACAAUGGGCGGAAGCCUGAUGCAGCAACGCCGCGUGCGGGAUGACGGCCUUCGGGUUGUAAACCGCUUUCGCCUGUGACGAAGCGUGAGUGACGGUAAUGGGUAAAGAAGCACCGGCUAACUACGUG